rnacentral:miRNA from 1 species
UCCGGGAAGACAACUAUUGU